rnacentral:piRNA from 1 species
UGCCAACUGAGCUACAUCCUAAGCCCCAAA